GACGAACGCUGGCGGCGUGCUUAACACAUGCAAGUCGAACGGAAAGGCCCUGCUUUUGUGGGGUGCUCGAGUGGCGAACGGGUGAGUAACACGUGAGUAACCUGCCCUUGACUUUGGGAUAACUUCAGGAAACUGGGGCUAAUACCGGAUAGGAGCUCCUGCUGCAUGGUGGGGGUUGGAAAGUUUCGGCGGUUGGGGAUGGACUCGCGGCUUAUCAGCUUGUUGGUGGGGUAGUGGCUUACCAAGGCUUUGACGGGUAGCCGGCCUGAGAGGGUGACCGGGCAAAUUGGGAACGGGGAAAGGGCCAAAAUCCUAAGGGAGGCAGCAGUGGGGAAUAUUGCACAAUGGGCGGAAGCCUGAUGCAGCAACGCCGCGUGCGGGAUGACGGCCUUCGGGUUGUAAACCGCUUUCGCCUGUGACGAAGCGUGAGUGACGGUAAUGGGUAAAGAAGCACCGGCUAACUACGUG
rnacentral:rRNA from 1 species